UUAGUUAAUUUCUUGAAACCUAAAGAAUUUGGCGGCAUUUUAAUCUAUUCAGAGGAACCUACUACGUAAUUGAUAAUACACGAUUUGUAAUACUUAGUUUUUGUUUGUAUAUCUCCGUUAUCAGAAAGUCUUUUUAGGGGUUAAUAAUUUUCUUAUUUUUUAAUUGAGAUUUAUUUCAGGUCAAGGUGCAGCUUGUAACUAAGAGUGGGCGGGUUACAUUAAAUUUUAUUUUUAACGGAAGUUUUUAUGAAAAUAUUUAUUUAAGUUGGAUUUGAUAGUAAUUUGUUUUACUUUUUGCAUUUGAUAUUAGCUCUAUAAUGUGUACACAU
rnacentral:rRNA from 1 species